rnacentral:rRNA from 1 species
AAGCGGUGGAGCUAUGUGGUUUAAUUCGAAGCAACGCGAAGAACCUUACCAGGUCUUGACAUCCCUGACAACCAAGAGAUUGGGCGUUCCCCUUCGGGGGACAGGGUGACAGGUGGUGCAUGGUUGUCGUCAGGCUCGUGUCGUGAGAUGUUGGGUUAAGUCCCGCAACGAGCGCAACCCUCGCCUCUAGUUGCCAGCAUUCGGUUGGGCACUCUAGAGGGGACUGCCGGCGACAAGUCGGAGGAAGGUGGGAUGACGUCAAAUCAUCAUGCCCCUUAUGACCUGGGCUACACACGUGCUACAAUGGGCGGUACAAAGGGCUGCGAACCCGCGAGGGGGAGCGAAUCCCAAAAAGCCGCUCUCAGUUCGGAUUGCAGGCUGCAACUCGCCUGCAUGAAGCCGGAAUCGCUAGUAAUCGCGGAUCAGCAUGUCGCGGUGAAUACGUUCCCGGGCCUU